GUGGUUAUAUAAGGGGAGAUAAUUGUGCCAUCCCUUAUCACAUCUCAUUUCAGCCAAACUAUGAUAACGGUGCACUUCUUACAGUGGUUUGGUCGACUGGCAAUGUGGCCUACAUUCCUCUUUACUUUGUCGCCAGUGAUGUCGUGGAAUAUCACAGGUUUCAACAGAAUGCACCAAUGUUGAACGGACAAAUACUUUCUCCAAUUCAGUCUGUCUCUUGACACCACUUUGACAAUGACAUUUAGCCUGAGGACUGUAAUUGUGUUCUAAAAGACCGUGGAUGUGAUUGACUUGGAUAUUCUUCCUGUCUUAAUUGUUCAGUUUUGUUAAUACGGUGAUGGAGAAUUCUAAGAAACAAGUGAGAUAGAUUUCCUGUCAAAUUGUUAAGAUGCAGUUUAUAUAUUGAUAGGUAUUCAUGUUUGGAUGACUUUUGCUGACUUUGGUGCAAUGAUUAUUUUUAACCUUCCAGUUAUUAAAGUACUUGCAGGCUAUUUUUUCUUGUCCUGUCUGCCUGUUGAAAUAUUCAUCACAUUUUGCUCAACUGUCUUAAGAUCUGUUCCACUGCCAAUAACUGUUUCUGGUUGUUAUGCUUUGUAUAUGAAGGUUUUGAAGAUAUUUGAAUAAAUGAAAAUAAUUGCUAAAUAUAUGCAUACUGAAAUUUUGUGAAAUUUGCUAAAAAAAUCCAAAUUUGGAUCGCAGAGUUAGUACAUAUGUAAUAGCUUGACAUCUACAUAUAAUUACUAUAUAACAUGAUGUUAUGAUGAUCACUUAAUGGAUUAUAUUUGUACAGAAUUAACAUGUUUAACAGUGUACUUAUAGGAUUUAAUGCAGACUUGAACGAUGUCAUGUGUGAAUUAAAUGUGUUAAUGAAUGUGUUAUACUGAAUAAUGACCGGAAAGUGCUGUUUGAUCAUGUGAUUUUAUACUUUUAUGAAAGUGUACAUAAAGAUUUUGACAUGUUGUUUCAUAAACCUGCUAUUUAGAAAUACAUGUGUAUAUGCCUGUAUGAAUUAGAUAUUGAGGAGUAGAAUAACUUCUUUAUCAGUUAUUGAACAACUGAACACAGUGUUAACAAAUGUAAUAUAUUCUUUCAUGGAUUGGAUUGUCAUAUAUAUUUUCCAACAUGUUAUAAUCGCGAUCAUGAUAGUGGUAUGAUAGAAUGUAAAGAGAUACUGUGAAUGUGAUAUGUCAUUGUUUAUGAAAGAUGUAAUGCAUUUUCAGAAAGUUUAAAUAAAAGAAUCAUGGACAAGUGA